UGCCUUAUAGCUCAGUGGUUAGAGCGUCUGCCGGUUUUCAGAACGUUACACGGUUCAAUUCCCGUUAGGGCUC